UCUUUUGCAGCGCUUACUGCGCGGCGAAAACCUUACACACAGUGAUUUUCUUUUCUUUGAAAACAUUGCUUUGGUCUGGCGCAAGUUGGGCCAAAGAUUUAUUAAACUUCAAUAUUUUUAUUGAAUUGUUAUUUUAACCAUAGUCAAUUUGUUGAUUAAAUUCAAAAAUCUUCAAAACUUUCAACAACGGAUCUCUUGGUUCUCGCAUCGAUGAAGAACGCAGCGAAUUGCGAUACGUAAUAUGAAUUGCAGAUUUUCGUGAAUCAUCGAAUCUUUGAACGCACAUUGCGCCCUUUGGUAUUCCAGAGGGCAUGCCUGUUUGAGCGUCAUUUCUCUCUCAAAUCUUCGGAUUUGGUAUUGAGUGAUACUCUUAGUCGGACUAGGCGUUUGCUUGAAAAGUAUUGGCAAGAGUGGUACUGAGAAGUGCUAAACUGUUUCAAUGUAUUAGGUUUAUCCAACUCGUUGAAUCUGAUUAGUAGUGAUCUGUGCUUAGGCUCGGCCUUACAACAACAAACAAAGUUUGACCUCAAAUCAGGUAGGAUUACCCGCUGAACUUAAGCAUAUCAAUAAGCCGGAGGAA
rnacentral:rRNA from 1 species